CGGGACGGGUGAGUAAUGUAUGGGGAUCUGCCUGAUGGCGGGGGAUAACUACUGGAACGGUAGCUAAUACCGCAUAAUGUCUACGGACCAAAGCGGGGGACCUCCGGGCCUCGCGCCAUCAGAUGAACCCAUAUGGGAUUAGCUUGUAGGUAAGGUAACGGCUUACCUAGGCGACGAUCCCUAGCUGGUCUGAGAGGAUGAUCAGCCACACUGGGACUGAGACACGGCCCAG
rnacentral:rRNA from 1 species